GGGGGGGGGGGCAUUUUUAUCUGUAUUUAUUUAAAGGGGGGGCUUUUUAACCAGUCCUACAUUCUGAGGUGAGAUCACUCCAGAGGGACGUCUUACAGGGGGGGGUUCAUUUUGAGGGAGGGGGCGGGACAGGAGCAGGAUUGGGCAUCAGUGUGACGGACAGGUAGGUGGGCCUGUGGUACGCGUGCAGAGCUCUCCUGUUGGCUACACUCGUCUCUCUCCUCUCUCGUCCACGUGGGACCAUCAUCUGUUUCACACACUCACACAGACUUUAGGCUGAACACACACGCACGUACACACACACACACACACACACACACACACACACACACACACACACACACACUCACACAGACUUUAGGCUGAACACACACGCACACACACACACACACACACACACACACGCACAGAGAGACACUCAGACUUUAGGCUGAACACACACGCACGUACACACAGACACACAACACACACACACACACACACACACACACAGACACACAACACACACACACACACACACACUCACACACACAGACACACACACACACGCACAGAGAGACACUCAGACUUUAGGCUGAACACACACACACACACACACACACACACACACACACACACUCACACACACAGACUUUAGGCUGGCUUUCUCAGUGCUACAACACUGGGAUUGGAAGACAUUUCUGUCCUUUUACUUCAAAGUACUUUUAUUCUUCUUUAUUCUCCGCUCACCCUGUUUCCUGGUACGCCGCCCCCUGUGGCUUGUGGUUAUUCUCGUGGCACAAAUGUAUAAAAAAUUAACGGUACUUCUUAACCAAAUUGAGCUUGCCUGGCAACUUUUUAAUCAUCGUACGUUCCCGACGACACGUUUGCUGUAUCAAGUGCUUUCUCACACACACCCCGGCUAAUGUCAGCCGCGUGGCGUGGAGAAGCAUGCAGAAAGCACACACACAGAGUAUAUAUAUCUUACAUGACGACAAGUCAAGCGAGGCCUGUAUAUGCUUAGAGGACUAUUUUACUGUAAUCAAAUGUAACUCGGGUAAUAUUAUCGUUUUACACGUGUGUUUUAUUCAUCAGAAAAUAAUCUUUUCACGCUUCUGCUGCGCCUGAGAUGAAGAGUAUUAUUUUCUCGAGCGCUGGCUGUGUGUCUGUCGAGCGGGUGUGUGUUAUGUAUCGCUGACAGCAUGGAGCUGUGUGGGCCUCGACCCCAGUGCUCGUCUUCCAGACGAGGAAGACUCGAUUCUAACGCUACAAAACUGCUUACUUCCUGGAACUGCUUUUUUGACCGAGCUCAGCUUGCGUUGUGAAAGUGAACUGGUUCUUGUGCUGUGUGUGUGUGUGUGUGUGUGUGUGUGUGUGUGUGUGUGUGUGUGUGUGUGUUUUGCGCUUGUGUGUUAAGGUACAUUGUGUUGAUACUGACUGUAUAUGAUAAAGGUACGUCAUCCGUGCACCAAACCUGUCAUAUUUUGUACCUUCGCUGUUUCUGUCGUUUGGAUUUGAGGUUUAUUCUGUAAAGUCGGGUUUUGUUAGGUUUUUUUUCUACUAAUGAAAUUUGAGUAUGAGAGUGUUGUUAUUUGACCUUUGACCUUUGAGUUCGAGCAGCAUCAGGUAGGGCUGAGAUAAGAGUCCAGACCCGAUCAGCUGAGAUAAGACGGAGAUAAGAAACCCUGCAGAUGAGAUAUCCAGACCUGAUCAGCCGAGAUAAGAGUCGGGGGGAAAACCCUGCAGUUGAGAGUCCAGACCCGAUCAGCUGCUGGACGAGAGAUAGAUGCUUCCCCAAGGGCGGAAUACACCGUAGGGUUCAUGACCUUUACAAGGGGAUGAGACGGACAGACAGAGGGACAGACAGAGGGACAGACAGAGGGACAGGGGG
ensembl:lncRNA